GUGAGCCCAGCCACUCACCUUCCAGGAAGCGUGGAUUCCUGGAAGUGAGGGGAACCGCCGUCAUUUCGCAGGCAGCGGCAGCGGCACGCCAUUGAUUUGAAUCGAUUAAUAGCCCUGGUGGGCGAGAAAUGCGGCAACCCGAGCAAUGGAAGGUGACGAGGACUCCUAAGGUUGGGCUGAGACGCUCCUGCCCCGCUCCUACAUCCGGGGGUCGGGGGGCGGAGACGCAGUUCCCUGGAGGAGGCUUCGGGAUCCAGCCCAGUUUCUCCCGGCGAUGAAGAAACUGAGGCAAAGAGCACUGAGUAACUUGAUCAGGGCUACAGCUGGUCAAUGAAUAUUACUUCAAAGGAUUCACAAAUACCACUCCUCCCUCCAGUUUCAUGAAUGGGCCCAGAGAUCCACAGACCACAUCCCCCACACAUAUAUACAUUUUGUUAAGAGGGCCUAAAAAAGUUAAAAUGGGAUCAGAUUUGAUGAGCUAUCUAAGUGGCCUGUGAAUAGGGGUGAUUAAAUGCAAUAAAUGGCCUAUUUUCCAAAUGGCAUUAUUUCAGUGUUCAGAAAAAGAUUAAAGUGAAUAAGGAGGUACCAAGAUGAAGGGGAGGGUAUGUUUCUGAUUCAAUGAAACACUACUGGGGGCCCCUUCUUCCAAAUUCCUAGUAUCAGACAAAAAAAUGAAGCAACACUCGAAUCCACUUUUUUUUUCUCCUUUUUUACUUACAUUAAAUACAUCAGUAAAUCAGCAGUCGCAUUCUGUUACCACGAUUGUUAUGUUGGAAAGGGAGGAAAGGGAAAGAAAGGCAAAUGCUUUCUUAGAAGCAAAGAAAAAAAAAGACA